UAGCUCAGGUAAAUAGAGCAGGUAGGAGAGAAAAAACACACCGAGAGAGAGGAUGAAGAAAUGACAUACAGCUCAUAUUUCUGAUUAAAGCUUCGAAAGGGAUUUAUAAGGUUGGCAUGACCUCCUGCAUGGGCCUGUCCCACUGUAAAGUGGCGCUGGCCUUCGCUGUAAUUUUUGACCUCCUGGGGGUCACAGCCUUGCUUGUGGGGGUCUUUGUUCCACUGGAGGUGAAGGGGAGAGACUUUGGUGACCUGCUGGUGUACUCAGGAGCGCUGCUGGUGUUGAUGUCCCUCGGUGGCUGGGUCAUGUGGUACAGUGGCAACAUUGAGGGUCUGUCGUCCAGCAAGGAGAUGGGCCACAUUGGGAACGCAGUGGACCGCAUUGCUCGCACCCUCAGCCGGAAAAUACGCACCCAUACAAUUAGGGGCCAUAGAGGUCCCUGAAGUGGAUAGAUUUAAUUCCUCUCCAGGGUGCUUUGGUUUUGUGGCCCAUGAAGUCUAGAAGCUGUGUUAAGACUGCUCUUCGUCACCCAGUUCUCCUCACUUAACUGACUGUUACAGUACACGUCCAAGGAAUAAUGAGAGUAAUAUUUCUUUGGACGUUAUUUGUAUUUUAAAACAGUAUUGAUGUUGUUUUGUAUUCAAAAGGUUUUAUUUCAGUUAGAGUGGUGGUUUCAGUUUUCAAGAGAAAUUUGCAUCAACUUUGUUGAGAAGACUAACAUGUCGAGUUCUGCUUUUUAUGCAAAAUGUUUUGUAUCUCACAAAUAAGACUGAUGAUUCAUGAUUAACAUUGUGCAGUAUAUGGUCCUUGUUUUCAACUAUUUACAUGUGCUGAUUAAUUGGUUUAAAAACCUUAUUUUAUGCCUCUGACAAUGUCAAACAGUAGUACACUAUUGGUCAAAUGUUUUAAAACACCUGGAAUUUUGUCAGUAAUCUAUUGGCAGUUUUGGACGGCAGAGGCAAGCCUGCUUUUUGUAUUUUGCCACUCCACCUGCCAAAGCUGCAGCUCCAAGUCUUCUCUGCACAGUUAAAACCGAAACUUGGUCCAGUGUACUGCUGAGCUACAAGUUAUUGUCAUGUUAGCUUCCUUAUUGCAGAAGCUGUUGACUCUCAGAAACCUGUCUUCUGAUAUUGAUGCGAAUUUGAGUCUAAUAAAAUAAAUUGUGAAAAUAA